rnacentral:lncRNA from 1 species
UUAUAUGGCACAUCCUUUCUUUUCUUCCAACCAAAACUGCUGCGAUCACAAGCAUUCUCUCAAAGAGAUGGAACCCAUUAUGGCUAUCAGUUCUUAUUCUUCACUUCGAAGACGAAACCUUUCAAAACAUGGAAUCCUUUAGCCAUUUUAUGUCCUCUGUCUUUCUUUUACGAGACAUUACUUUACCCCUCCGAUCAUUCCACCUCAAAUGUUCAAAAGCCUCUGGCAUCCAGCCACAAGAUAUCAAUCGAUUUGUUCACGCCUAUGAACAGUGGCGGAGCCACGUUCAUUCCAGGGUGUGCACUUGCUACCCCUCAAUAUGUACAAUCCCCACCUAUUAUUUUGUAAUUUUUACUUAUGAACCUCCUGAAAAUAUAUGUUUGCACCAAAUUGCACCAACAAUUCCCUCUUGUUUACAUUGUUAUUAUUGCUGUCCAAAUCUCUUUGCUUGGGUAGAUUAGUUGUUUUACCAUUGGAUUAGAAUGCUAACACGUGAACAAAACAUGUGCAGUGCAAUUUAUAUUACAACCCGUAACAUAUAUUUACAACUUUUUUUUUUGAGGGAAUAUAUUUACAACAUUUAAUUCAUAUUUUAAAUGUGUAAACUAUGUCAUUAGUUAUAUAUGACUUAAAAAAAACUUUAUACAUUCCUAUGAGCUUAACUUACUUGAUAGAGACAUUACAUGAUAAAUGUAGGGAUUUGAACCUCAAACUCCUCGUUUCUUCACAUUUAAAAUGUAUAAGUUCAAGUCAUUAGACUAUCUAAUUGACACCAAAAAAAAACUCAAUACUAAUCUACGUGAUUUAAUUAAUUUAACCGAUGACGGUUAUUGUAGAAUCACUUGGUUAAAAAUAUAUUCUUCAAAUUUGAUAAUCUUUAAUUUGUUUGAUACUCUAGUAUUCCGGAAAAAAAUUAAUCGAUAGUUCAAUGAACCGCCAUGCUAGUUGAUUCGAUGAGUUGAUUAUUCGCCGAUUUUAGGAUAUAAAACCGCGUAGAGGACAAUCAUGUGUAAGUUUGUACGUAAAUUGUUUAGUAUAAUAUACUUUUCUUUUUGAAUAUUUAUUAUAUAUAUGCACACACACAUAUAUAUUUUAAUUAUUACUUGAAGUUGAAAAAUUUGAACCUCGUGAUCCGAGGUCCUAGCAACGCCACUGCCUAUGAAGCCUCGAUACCUGACACGAUACCGAUACCGCAAUACGGGAAAAUUUUCAAAACUCCCGAUACGAUACGGACUCGAUACGUUUUUAAAAAAUUAAAUUUAAAAUUAAUAGUAUAAGUGUACAAUGUAUAAACAUAACUAAAAAUGAUGAUAAACAAACAUUCACAUUAAUGAAAUGAUCAAAACAAGUGACAAUUACAUAUUUUUUCCGCACAAAUUAGAUAGAAUAUAGCUAAACAUCAUUAGUAUCAUCCAAAGAGAACAUCAUAAGUACUAUAAAAAAAGAACAUCUUUAUCUAAUGUUGACUACUUAACAGUUAUCACUAAUUUAUAUCGAAAACAAACAGCAGAAGAAACAUAACAUUAGAGAGAAGAGAAACAGAGUAGAAUUCAAUCAGUGGUAAUGGUUAGAAGAGAGAAUAGCUAUUGCUAUGUGGUGACGAGAAACCAUAUUUUUUUAGGUUAGAAGAGACUAUGAUUUUGAUAGCGCUGCCAGACUUGAUAAGUGUCAAGGUAUAAGUAAGCUGUGUCGGAGUACAAGUUAGUCGUAUUCAACACGUAUCGGUCAUUUUUUUUCCUUCAAAAAAUAAAUAUUAACUGUCUGAUACUUCUCCGAUACGCGUAUCGGGACGUAUCCGACACGUAUCGGUCAUUGUUUUUCAAAAAAAUAAAUAUUAAUUGCCCGAUACCCGUAUCGGGAUGUAUCGGAGCGUAUCGGUAUCGGAUACGUGUCGGAUACGAUACUUCACCAUUUUUGGAGUAUCGGGGCUUUAGAGGUUCACGCUGCUGUACAACGUGGAAUCGAGGACCUCAAUCUUGAAAUGCCUGGCAGGGUAACAUUACCUCGUAGCAUUUUCAGUUGUAGGACCCUUGUUUCUCUUCAUUUGAAAGGGCUUAAAGUGAAUGACAUUUCUCACGGGGUUGUAGAUUUCCCUCUGCUCAAAACUCUCCAUUUGUCUAGUGUACUUUUCGAACGUUUUGAAUAUUUAGUAGAGAUUCUAUCAGGUUGUCCCAUUCUCGAGGAAUUGCAAGCAGAAGAUUUAAGUGUAGACAAUGUGGAGUGGGUUUUUAUACAGGAAAAUUCUGUUAUAGUGAAAAAGUUUAUAAGCUUACUACCAAAUUUGAUCAGAGUUAGCAUUACAAAAUCACCUUCUUAUUUGAUGAAUCUGGUCACUCUCCUUUGCACAGAGGCUCAGAUUCUGCGUGCAGAACUUGUAAGAAUAAUAUUAUGGUUAUGAAUUUUAAUUAACUAACUUUAUUUACUGUUGUGAUUUGGAGAUUUUUUUUCUUCCUCUAUGAGUUUUCACUCUAGGUUUAUAGGGUUUGACUAACUUUUCUAAAUUGCAACAGGAUAGGAUUAUCGGAAAUAAUAAUCAGUUUCACAAUCUAACCAACAUAGAGCUUAUCAUUAAGCAUAAUCAUCGUGAUAAGUAGAAGUGGUUGAUAGGAAUGCUGAAACACUGUCCCAAACUUCAACAUUUUACCAUUCAUGAGGUUCGGUUCGGUUCGGUUUGUGUCUUGGAUUUUGUUUUAUUUUACCUCACCACUUUUUGACCUAUUUUUAUAAAAAAAAAAAAUGUGAAUUGUUGAUAGGAUGUUGAGAAUGAAGAGGAAGUUGUGGAUAAUUGGGUGGAUCCAACGACUAUUCCAAAAUGCCUUUCAACACAACUCAAGACAUGCUUGCUUAAAGGUUAUAAAUACACAGAUUGUGAGCUUCAAUUUGCAAAAUAUAUUAUGCAGAAUUCAAAAGUAUUGAAGACCAUGUCAAUCAAGAGUACCUCUUCCGUAGAUACAAAUGCCAAGCACCAAAUUUUGAAGAAACUAGCUUCGUGCACAAGGGCCUCAUCAACAUGUAAACUCUUAUUUGAUUGAUGAAAGUUAUGUCAUAGUUUACAAUAGUUCUUAUGUCUACUUUUUAAAUUAGAUUCUUCGUAUGCAAUGGUAAGAUCUGAUGCUUUCAAAGGCAUGACCUCUGUUUCAUUUUGACCUCUAUAACAUUUAAAUUUUCAAAUAUGUAUUGACUUUCACGUAAUUAAUUGAUACUAGAUCCUCUCAACUUUUUCAUUUAUUUUCUUAUUGAUGGUUCUUUUUUACUUGGGUUAUAUCGAUGUCUGUCAUUUUUUGGUAGUCUUGUUGUGGACUUGUGGGAAAGAGUAAUGGAUAUCAAAAUUUGCAACUGCAUUGACUAGUGUUGUAGAACGACAACCUGCUUUUAUUUGAAAACAGAGUGUGAUAUUAGUUUGUGCUCCACUCGUAAGUGUGAUAAACAAGUAUAAUAUCAUUCUCAUCUUGGUAGCCAGUUUCUAAAUUAUGACAUCCACUUGCUUGACUAAAUGGUACAACAAUUCUGAUUGGUUUCUUUUCCAUUAAUUUGAAUAUCAGGUAACAAUAUAACCAUUUAGGUUGCUAAGCUCUUUUAUUAACACUAUUCAAGAAAAGCAAAUUGAGAUGAAGAGACAUGAACUAAUCUUUGCUAAGAUAUUUUACUCUUAUGAUAUAUAACCUUCAUUUAUUGAGUUUUUGUUUGAUUAAUUCUAGGUGUAAUUCAACUUAGUAAUUGAAUGCUGGUUUGGUAUUUUUUCUGCGUUUAUUAUUUACUAAAUUAUGGCAUUCUGUUUUGUACUAGUUUGCACUUUGCUAUUGUCUAUUGCUAGUAUUUAUAGCUUGUGUGACUAAUAAUAGUGCUUAUAGUAGCCAGAGAAGACAUAUUCAUAUAAGACAUUGUUACUUAACUGAAAUUGGUAUUAUCUGGCUUGAGUAUGUGAAAAAUGAGAGAAAUCAUACAGAUCCUUUAACAAAAGGAUUGUCCUUGAGACGUCGAGGUCCGUGAAUGGAGGAAAGUAUGGUGGAGACAUUAUUAGUGGUCAAACAAAGCCCUGAGUACUUGUAUGCACUUCAUUUUUCAUCUCUAUGAAGUGUGGUAGUGCUUAAUGUGAGGAUUAGUUAUUAGCUCUUAAUAGGUACAUAGUACUAUAGAAUUGAACAUUUAGAAUUAAAGGAGUUAUUAAGCUAUUUCAUUGCAACACAAAUGAUCAUGUAACUGACAUCAUAACAAAGCCUUUAAAGUUCACCUUUGAGCAAGUUCAAAGUAGAGUGAAAGUAUGUAAAACAAAAGAUUAAACUGAUUGCAAAAUUCAAAUUCAGUUAAGGGAUGAUUUCCUUUUCUAAGUCUUAGUUGGGCCUCCCCUUGUGUCAAUAGGCAUGGCCUUAGUUUUGGAGACUAGUUUUGUUCUAUGAUACACAAUUACUCCUAGGAGUAGGCUUGUCCUGGUUUCGGAUACGUAUCUGACAUUGACACGAUAUCGACACAUAUAAUUACAUUGAAUUAUGUCAUUUUAUCAAAUUAUUGAGUAUUGGUGUCGACGUGUCCAUGUCGUGUCCGGUGUCCGUGUUUGAGCAUGUGCUUCAUAGGUUGUGUCUGGUGUGCUUUUGUGAUCAUUAGUUUGCUUUGUGAUGGAUGUUCUGCUUUUACCAUUUUUCAGGAAAUGCGGGUUGGUUUUUGUUCUCUAAAUACAAUAUUGGCCUUGGUCGUUUUUAAGGAUCUUGCAAUCUUGUGGGCAUAGCUUAUGCAGUUAUGCUUAUUUAUUUUGUUUGAAUAUAUCAUUUUGCUAUUUGCCAAAAAUAAAAUUGAAGUACAAUUUUCUAUUUUCCAUUAGUAUCACAUAGGUGUGUAUGUGUGAAUCUACAAAAAAAAAAAAUGCAAUAAAAGAUAGGUGUCCACGUGUCCGUGUCAUGUCCGGUAUCUGUAUGUUUUGUUUGUGACUUUGUUUGGAAAUUAGUUGGUUGUGUCAUGUGUGUAUAGUUGCAUAAAGUGAAUCAAUAGAAUCCAGUUGGGGCUUUGUAUGAAUUCUGCUCUUUAUCUAAAUGGUUUUGCUCGUUCUCAAAGUAAAUGACUAAAAUACACAUACGCAUAUUAACUCACGCUAAUGCAAUUGUCAACGUAAGUUAACACACGCUGCGUGAGUUAACUCACACUGAAAAACACACACUGAACUCGAGCGUAAGUUAACUCACGCUAGUUUUCUUACUUUUAUUUAGCUUCCUUCAAAGCUUUAUUAUGAGUGUCGGCAAUAUUCUUUCUCUUACACUUUGGUUGCACAUUUUUUAAUAUAUUUUGAAGCAAUCCUAUCAUAAUAAAAUAACUCUAGCCAUAAUAAAAUACCUCUAGCCAUAUAUUAUGAAGCUAAAUAGAGCAAAUACCAAUAAAGAAAUGUCACUUCAUUUGAAAGUAAGCAUCACAUUAUAAAUGACAACACUAGUGAAGAAGCUAAAUAAAAAUAAGAAAACCAACGUGAGUUAACUCACGUUAUGUGAGUUAAGUCAUGCAAAUUUAACACUAGCGUGACUUAACUCACGCAUAAGCAAUAUAAACAUUUAUUUUGGGAACAAGCAAAACAGUUUUGGUAAAGAGCAGAAAUCCUUUGUACAGCUUUCCCUAAGGCUAAAGUGGUGUGUUUUUGUGAUCAUUAAGUUAGUUUGCUUUGCGAUAUCCAAUUUUCAGGAAAUUUGAUCUUUACCAGCUUUGAGGGAUUAGCAUCCGCAUCUGUGCAUGGAGGAUAGCUGAUUUAUGCGAAAAAAAGAUUUAAUUUUCAUAAAUAAUGCUUUAUACAAGUAUUAUUUGCUUGAUUUGUAAAAAUAAAAAAGUUAUUAUAUAGGUAGUUUGUCAACAAAAAGAAAAAAAAAAUCUUUGCUUGAGAAAAUACCUUCUAACUCUUGAGGUAGCUAAUAUAUUGAUGUAUUUAGCAGAAAAUUCAAUUUAUUUUGACUAGUUCUAUAGACACUACAAUUUUAAAAGAGAUGAUGUGGUUUUUUAGUUAGUAUAUAUUUUUUGAAAUUUACCUUGUAUAGGACGAUCCUCUGUGAGUGUAACAAGGUCAUUUGCAAAGGGCCUCAAAAUUAGAGGGAAUUCAAUUAUUAUUUUUUUAAAAAGUUUAGAGAAAAACAAUUUUACCAUCAAUUAUGCACUGUGCAUUUGUAAAUGUAACAUGUAAAUAAAUCAUAUUUAUACUCCUACUCAUAUAUUUUACCACAACAUAAUUGUCUGUCAUUAUAUGUGUUGGAUUUUAAUUUUUAUUCUUCAAUUCUUUACAAAUGAAAAUAGUAUAGUAGUAAAUUCUAAAAUAAUAUAAGCUCUAAAUAAAUAUAAAUUCAAAAAACGCAAAACUAAUAUAAAUUCUACAAUUUUUUAUUGUUUUUUUUUACAAAUUCUGAAUAUUUUGAUAAGCUCAACAUAUUAAGCAAACGUUCAACUACUAUCGAAUAUGUUUAUAAUGCUUGUCACAUGUAAAAAGAUACUAGAGGGAACAAGACAACGUUUAUAAGUUACUCUCUCCGUCCUAAUUUAUAAGCAAAAAACACUAAUUCACACUUAUUAAGAAAACUAACACUUAGUGAUUUGAGGUAUGAUUUUUUGUGUUCUCCUUGGAAUAAGUUUCAUGGAAAGAUGUAAAAAUAAUUUUCAUUGGUUAAAAAUUAUGGAGAAAAUAAAAAGGAGAACAAAUUAAAUGCAACUUGCAUUUAAUUUUACAUUGGAAAAGAUGAUUUGUUUGAAAAAACAUAAAAAUAGCAUAAAAGUUUAUCUUUUUUGCUUAUAUUUUGAGAUAAAGAAAAUGAAAUUUUUUUGCUUAUAUUUUAGAACGGAGGGAGUACUAAGUGAUGAUUUAAGCUUUUUUAAAAAAUAAAAAACAAAAUUACAUUAAAACCCUUUUUUAAAGGUUGUUUUAAAAAGAGAUGGUGUGGUUUUUUAGUUAAUAUAUAUUUUUCUUUUUUGAAAUUUACCUUUGUAUACGUGGAUCCUAUGCAAAUGUAUCAAUGUUCUUUGGAGAAGAUCUGAAACUUAAAGUUAAUGGUGUGUUUGGUUUAAAAGAGAAGUUCUAAAGAGAGAAAUACGUGAAAGAGAAGUUAGUAAAAGAGUAAAAAAUAAGAAAUAGAAUAAAUUUGAUGUAUAAUUUAGUAUAAGAGAAAGAGAGAAGAAAUAGAGAAAAGAGAAUUGUUUAUUAUUUUUAAAAGUACUAAAAUACCUCUGAUUUUUUAAAUCACAAAUAAUACAAGAAAUUCAUCAAUACACUAUUUCAUCAAUAAGUGCUAUGUAUCAGAGAAAAGGAAAUAGAUCCAUUUCCUUACCGAUGAAAACGUUAGUAAAUUCUAAAUUCUAAAAUUAUAUAAAUCCAAAAAAAAAAUUAUAAUUUCAAAAAUUGUAAAAAUAAUAUAAAUUCUCUAAGAGAAAUGAUAUUUAUACAUUUUUGUAUAACUUUUAUACAAUCUUCUCUCUCAUACUCACAUUAUAUUCUUAUUUUCUUUUUUCAUUUUUCUUUCUUUUUUGACCAACAAAAAGAGAGCACAACAAGAUUGUUCUAAAAGUUGGUUCUUCAAUUAUAUGUUUUCUUUACAAAUUCCGAAUAUUUUUGUGAGCUCAACAUCCCACACACCACCGACAGUAUGUCCCAUCCAUCUUCUUUUUAAAGUCUCAAAAACACCAACAACACCAUGAAACCCUCAUAUUCAUAUUCAUUCUCAACUCUCAUCUUGAAUGAUCUACAAAAUGAUUCAGCUCAUCCAUUUCAUUUCUUCUAACCCUUUGCUCAAUCGCUUUCUGGGUCCCUCCAAAAAGUGAGUCAUGUUUCUCAAUUUCUAAACACAGAUCGGUUUUCUUUAGAACUCUGCUUUUGGAUUAGGAUUAGGGUUAGGGUUUUGAGUUUUGAAAUGUCACGAUCAAUUUCAACUGAAGAUAGGAUUAGUGCUCUACCAGAUCCAAUUAUAUGGCACAUCCUAUCUUUUGUUCCAACCAAAACUGCUGCAAUCACAAGCAUUCUAUCAAAGAGAUGGAACCCAUUAUGGCUAUCAGUUCUUAUUCUUCACUUCGAAGACGAAACCUUUCAAAACAUGGAAUCCUUUAGCCAUUUUAUGUCCUCUGUUUUUCUCUUACGAGAUAUUACUUUACCCAUUAGAUCGUUCCACCUCAACCGUUCAAAACGUUAUGGCAUUGAGACACAGAAUAUCAAUCGAUUUGUUCACGC